rnacentral:rRNA from 1 species
AUAGCGUAUAUUAAAGUUGUUGCAGUUAAAAAGCUCGUAGUUGGACCUAUGAUGAGGACGACCGGUCUACCGCAAGGUAGCUUACUGGACGUUUCCGAGUCACGAUACCAGGGAGCCAUUACACAUUGUGUUAUGGGGAACUGGGGAUUACUUUGAAGAAAUUAGAGUGUUUAAAGCAGGCAUAAUUGCUUGAAUACAUUAGCAUGGAAUAAUGAGAUAGGACUAUGGUCUUAUUUUGUUGGUUUUGGGGGCUGUAGUAAUGAUUAAUAGGGAUAGUUGGGGGCAUUUGUAUUCAGUAGUCAGAGGUGAAAUUCUUGGAUUUACUGAAGACAAACUAGUG